rnacentral:lncRNA from 1 species
ACCCCAGCCAGCAUGGCCGGCAGGAGCGCACCGCGCUGUCUCCCUCCAGGGAUCCGCACCGCCCUACAAUCCUGCUUUGUGCUGAGAUUGUAGUCCUGCAGGCGUACAACUAACAAGCUGGGUGCAGAUAAGAGACUACAGCUCCCCGCAUCCCAAGCAAAGGUCCCUCCUCUACGGAGCCCCUCCACGCGUCCACUGCGGUUCCGCCGUGCCAAGGGGAGCUUGGCUGUUCACGGGCCUCACCUGCUAGCGAGAAGAUAGCUUGGCCGGGCGGCUGAUCUCACCUUGUAAUUCUGACACUGUGUCUCCCGGGCUUGUCGGCUUCAUGACUUGUGCCCAAAGUUUGAUUUCUCGCAGACCAGGAGGACCCAUUGGACCCCCGGGCUGGCUGCAGGGCCCACACCUGGGUUAGACCUCGCACAGGGACGCUGCUGCCACUGUAAUAAAGCGUGCCUACACGCUUCUGAAACUGGUGUAGGAACAACCUCAGUUCUGUGAAAGGCGGACGCAGCAGGACAGAAUCUCCGUGGACAUCUGUCUGGAGGAGCAAUUUUACUGCGACAUUUUAAAGAAACAAAUUUAAUUGAUUUCCAAGGGUGUCCAUCGCGCUUCCUUCACUGCCUUGAUCAUGUCGGGGUCACCACCUGCGGGGGUUUGUCCUGCAGACCCUGACUCAACGACGGAUGAAUAAUGUACACUGACACAGAUCUUAUGCUUGUCAGUCCUGCUGAGCAUCCAGGCCACUUACAGACUCCAAGAAGAGUCCUGUCAGCCACGGCUCUGACUUGUUGGCCCUCCCGGCAUUUAUUUAGCACACAUUUAAUGACAGAAGUCUCAGGCUGGAAACACUCUUUUUGUAGAACAUACAAAUGGACAUUUCUAAGCACAUUGAGGCCUAUAAUGAAAAAUCAAAUAUCCCACAAUGAAAACUAGAAGGAAGCUAUCUGUGAUAAUGCUUUGUGGUGUAUGGAUUCAUCUCACUGACUGAAACCUGAGUUUUGAUUCACCAGAAUCUAUGCAGGGACAUUUUUGUGCUCAUUGAGGCCUACUGUGAAAAACCAAACAUCAGGGGUGGAGCCAAAAAAGCCAAAUAGGAACAGCUCCAGUCUACAGCUCCCAGCAUGAGCCACACAGAAGAUGGAUGAUUUCUGCAUUUCCAACUGAGGUACCAGGUUCAUCUCACUGGGGAGUGUUGGAAAGUGGGUUCAGGACAGUGGGUGCAGGACACCGAGCAUGAGCCAAAAGAGGGUGAGGCAUCACCUCACCUGGGAAGCACAAGGGGUCAGGGAAUUCACUUUCCUAGUCAAAGAAAGUGGUGACAGAUGGCACCUGGAAAAUCAGGUCACUCCCACCAUAAUACUGCACUUUUCCAAUGGUCUUAGCAAAUGGCACACCAGGAGAUUAUAUCCCUUGCAUGGCUUGGAGGGUUCUACACCCAUGGAGCCUUGCUUAUUGCUAGCACAGCAGUAUAAGAUCAAACUGCAAGGUGGCAGAGAGGCUUGGGGAGGGGCACCCACCAUUGCCGAGGCUUGAAUAGGUAAACAAAGUGGCUAGGAAGCUCGAACUUGGUGGAGCCCACCACAGCUCAAGGAGGCCUGCCUGCCUCUGUAGACUCCACCUCCGGGGGCAGGACAUAGCCAAACAAAAGGCAACAGAAACCUUUGCAGAUUUAAUUGUCCCUGUCUGACAGCUUUGAAGAGAGUAGUGGUUCUCCCAGCACGCAGCUGGAGAUCUGAGAAUGGAGAGAUUGCCUCCUCAAGUGGGUCCCUGAACCCCAAGUAGCAUAACUGGGAAGCACCCCCCAGUAGGGGCAGACUGACACCUCACAAGGCCGGGUACUCCUCUGAGACAAAACUUCCAGAGGAACAAUCAGGCAUCAACAUUUGCUGUUCACCAAUAUCCGCUGUUCUGCAGCCUUUGCUGCUGAUACCUAGGCAAAUAGGGUCUGGAGUGGACCUCCAGCAAACUCCAACAGACCUGCAGCUGAGGGUCCUGACUGUUAGAAGGAAAACUAACAAACAGAAAGGACAUCCACACAAAAACCCCAUCUGUACGUCACCAUCAUUGAAGACCAAAGGUAGAAAAAACCACAAAAAUGGGGAAUAAAACAGAAAAGAAAAACUGGAAACUCUAAAAAUUAGAGUGCCUCUCCUCCUCCAAAGGAAUGCAGCUCCUCACCAGCAAUGAAACAAAGCUGGAUGGAGAAUGACUUUGACGACUUGAGAGAAGAAGGCUUCAGAUGAUCAAACUAUUCUGAGCUAAAAGAGAAAGUUCGAACCCAUGGCAAAGAAGUUAAAAACCUUGAAAAAAAGUUAGAUGAAUAGCUAACUAGAAUAGCCAAUGCAGAGAAGUCCUUAAAGGACUUGAUGGAGCUGAAAACCAAGGCACGAGAAAUACAUGAUGAAUGCACAAGCCUCAGUAACCAAUUCGAUCAACUGGAAGAAAGGGUAUCAGUGAUGGAAGAUCAAAUGAAUGAAAUGAAGUGAGAAGAGAAGCUUAUAGAAAAAAGAAUAAAAAGAAAUGAACAAAGCCUUCAAGAAAUAUGGGACUAUGUAAAAACCCCAAAUCUACAUCGGAUUGUUGUAUCCGAAAGUGACAGGGAGAAUGGAACCAAGUUGGAAAACACUCUGCGGGAUAAUAUCCAGGAGAAUUUCCCCAAUCUAGCAAGGCAGGCCAACAUUCAAAUUCAGGAAAUAACAGAGAAUGCUACAAAGAUACUCCUCGAGAAGAGCAACUCCAAGACACAUAAUUGUCAGAUUCGCCAAAUUUCAAAUGAAGGAAAAAAUGUUAAGGAUAGCCAGAGAGAAAGGUCGGGUUACCCACAAAGGGAAGCCCAUCGGACAAACAGCAGAUAUGUCAGUAGAAACUCUACAAGCCGGAAGAGAGUGGGGGCCAAUAUUCAACAUUCUUAAAGAACAGAAUUUUCAACGCAGAAUUUCAUAUACAGUCAAACUAAGCUUCAUAAGUGAAGGAGAAAUAAAAUGCUUUACAGACAAGCAAAUGCUGAGAGAUUUCGUCACCACCAGGCCUUCCCUAAAAGAGCUCCUGAAGGAAGCACUAAACAUGGAAAGGAACAACUGAUACCAGCCACUGCAAAAACAGGCCAAAUUGUAAAGACCAUUGAGGCUAGGAAGAAACUGCAUCACCUAAUGAGCAAAAUAGCCAGCUAACAUCAUAAUGACAGGAUCAAACUCACACGUAACAAUAUUAACCUUAAAUGCAAAUGGGCUAAAUGCUCCAAUUAAAAGACACAGACUGGCAAAUUGGAUAAAAGGUCAGGAGCUAUCAGUAUGCUGUAUUCAGGAAACACAUCUCACAUACAGAGACACACAUAGGCUUAAAAUAAAGGGAUGGAGGAAGAUCUACCAAGAAAAUGGAAAACAUAAAAAGGCAGGAAUUGCAAUCCUAGUCUCUGAUAAAACAGAAUUUAAACCAACAAAGAUCAAAAGAGACAAAGAAGGCCAUUAUAUAAUGGUAAAGGGAUCAAUUCAACAAGAAGAGCUAACUAUCCUAAAUAUAUAUGCACCCAAUACAGGAGCACCCAGAUUCAUAAAGCAAGUCCUUAGAGACCUACAAAGAGACUUAGACUCCCACACAGUAAUAAUGGGAGACUUUAACACCCCACUGUCAACAUUAGACAGAUCAACGAGACAGAAAGUUAGCAAGGAUAUCCAGGAACUGAACUCAGCUCUGCACCAAGUGGACCUAAUAGAUAUCUACAGAACUCUCCACCCCAAAUCAACAGAAUAUAAAUUCUUUUCAGCACCACACCACACUUAUUCCAAAAUUGACCACAUAGUUGGAAGUAAAGCACUCUUCCGCAAAUGUAAAAGGACAGAAAUUAUAACAAAAUGUCUCUCAGACCACAGUGCAAUCAAACUAGAACGCAGGAUUAAGAAACUCACUGAAAACCGCUCAAUGACAUGGAAACUGAACAACCUGCUCCUGAGUGACUACUGGGUACAUAACGAAAUGGAGGCAGAAAUAAAGAUGUUCUUUGAAACCAAGGAGAACAAAGACACAACAUACCAGAAUCUCUGGGACGCAUUCAAAGCAGUGUGUAGAGGGAAAUUUAUAGCACUAAACGCCCACAAGAGAAAGUAGGAAAGAUCUAAAAUUGACACCCUAACAUCACAAUUAAAAGAACUAGAGAAGCAAGAGCAAACACAUUCAAAAUCUAGCAGAAGGCAAGAACAACUAAGAUCAGAGUAGAGCUGAAGGAAAUAGACACGCAAAAAACCCUUCAAAAAAUCAAUGAAUCCAGGAGCUGGUUUUUUUAAAAGAUCAACAAAAUUGAUAGACCACUAGCAAGACUAAUAAAGAAGAAAAGAGAGAGGAAUCAAAUAGACUCAAUAAAAAAUGAUAAAGGGGAUAUCACCACCGAUCCCAUAGAAAUACAAACUACCAUCAGAGAAUACUAUAAACACCUCUACACAAAUAAACUAGACAAUAUAGAAGAAAUGGAUAAAUUCCUCGACACAUACACCUCCCAAGACUAAACCAGGAAGAAGUUGAAUCUUUGAAUAGACUAAUAACAGGCUCUGAAAUUGAGGCAAUAAUUAAUAGCUUGCCAAGCAAAAAAAGUCAAGGACCACAUGGAUUCAUAGCUGAAUUCUACCAGAGGAAAAAGGAGGAGCUGGUACCAUUCCUUCUGAAACUACUCCAAUCAAUAGAAAAAGAGGGAGUCCUCCCUAACUCAUUUUAUGAGGCCAGCAUCAUCCUGUUACCAAAGCCUGGCAGAGACACAACAAAAAAAAAGAGAAUUUUAGAACAAUAUCCCUGAUGAACAUUGAUAUAAAAAUCCUCAAUAAAUACUGGCAAACCGAAUCCAGCAGCACAUCAAAAAGCUUAUCCACCAUGAUCAAGUGGGCUUCAUCCCAGGGAUGCAACGCUGGUUCAACAUAGGCAAAUCAAUAAACGUAAUCCAGCAUAUAAACAGAACCAAUGACAAAACCAUAUGAUUAUCUCAAUAGAUGCAGAAAAAGCCUUCGACAAAAUUCAACAGCCCUUCAUGCUAAAAACUCUCAAUAAAGUAGGUAUUGAUGGGAUGUACCUCAAAAUAAUAAGAGCUAUCUAUGACAAACCCACAGCCAAUAUCAUAUUGAAUGUGCGAAAACUGGAAGCAUUCCCUUUGAAAACUGGCACAAGACAGGGAUGUCCUCUCUCACCACUCCUAUUCAACAUAGUGUUGGAAGUUCUGGCCAGGGCAAUCAGGCAGGAGAAAGAAAGUGUAUUCAAUUAGGAAAAGAGGAAGUCAAAUUUUCCCUGUUUGCCAAUGAGAUGAUUGUAUAUCUAGAAAACCCCAUUGUCUCAACCCAAAAUCUCCUUAAGCUGAUAGGCAACUUCAGAAAAGUCUCAGGAUACAAAAUAAAUGUGCAAAAAUCAGAAGCAUUCUUAUACACCAGUAACAGACAAACGGAGAGCCAAAUCAUGAGUGAACUCCCAUUCACAAUUGCUUCAAAGAGAAUAAAAUACCUAGGAAUCCAACUUACAAGGGAUAUGAAGGACUUCUUCAAUGAGAACUACAAACCAAUGCUCAAUGAAAUAAAAGAGGACACAAACAAAUGGAAGAAUAUUCCAUGCUCAUGGAUAGGAAAAAUCAAUAUCGUGAAAAUGGCCAUACUGCCCAAGGUAAUUUAUAGAUUCAAUGCCAUCCCCAUCAAGCUACCAAUGACUUUCUUCAAAGAAUUGGAAAAAACUACUUUAAAGUUCAUAUGGAACCAAAAAAGAGCCCACAUCGCCAAGUCAAUCCUAAGCCAAAAGAACAAAGCUGGAGGCAUCACGCUACCCGACUUCAAACUAUACUACAAGGCUACAGUAACCAAAACAGCAUAGUACUGGUAUCAAAACAGAGAUUUAGACCAAUAGAACAGAACAGAGCCCUCAGAAAUAAUGCUGCACAUCUACAACCAUCUGAUCUUUGACAAACCUGACAAAAACAAGAAAUGGGGAAAGGAUUCCCUAUUUAAUAAAUGGUGCUUGAAAAACUGGCUAGCCAUAUGUAGAAAGCUGAAAUGAGAUCCCUUCCUUACACUUUAUACAAAAAUUAACUCAAGAUGGAUUAAAGACUUACAUGUUAGACCUAAAACCAUAAAAACCCAGGAAGAAAACCUAAGCAAUACCAUUCAGGACAUAGGCAUAGGCGAGGACUUCAUGUCUAAAACACCAAAAGCAAUGGAAACAAAAGCCAAAAUUGACAAAUAAGAUCUAAUUAAACUAAAGAGCUUCUGCACAGCACAAGAAACUACCAUCAGAGUGAACAGACAAACUACAAAAUGGGAGAAAAUUUUUACAAUCUACUCAUCUGACAAAGGGCUAAUAUCCAGAAUCUUCAAUGAACUCAAACAAAUUUACAAGAAAAAAACAAACAACCCCAUCAACAAGUGGGCAAAGGAUAUGAACAGACACUUCUCAAAAGAAGAUAUUUAUGCAGCCAAAAAACACAUGAAAAAAUGCUCAUCAUCACUGGCCAUCAGAGAAAUGCAAAUCAAAACCACAAUGGGAUACCAUCUCACACCAUUUAGAAUGGCAGUCAUUAAAAAGUCAGGAAACAACAGGUGCUGGAGAGGAUGUGGAGAAAUAGGAACACUUUUACACUGUUGGUGGGACUGUAAACUAGUUCAACCAUUGUGGAAGUCAGUGUGGUGAUUCCUCAGGGAUCUAGAACUGGAAUAACCAUUUGACCCAGCCACCCCAUUCCUGGGUAUAUACCCAAAGGACUAUAAAUCAUGCUGCUAUAAAGACACAUGAACACGUAUGUUUAUUGCGGCACUAUUCACAAUAGCAAAGACUUGGAACCAACCCAAAUGUCCAACAAUGAUAGACUGGAUUAACAAAAUGUGGCACAUAUACACCAUGGAAUACUAUGCAGCCAUAAAAAAUGAUGAGUUCAUGUCCUUUGUAGGGACAUGGAUGAAAUUGGAAAUCAUCAUUCUCAGUAAACUAUCGCAAGGACAAAAAAACAAAAACCGCAUAUUCUCACUCAUAGGUGGGAAUGGAAAAAUGAGAUCACAUGGACACAAGAAGGGGAACAUCACACUCUGGGGACUGUUGUGGGGUGGGGUGAGUGGGGAGGGAUAGCAUUGAGAGAUAUACCUAAUGCUAGAUGACGAGUUAGUGGGUGCAGCACACCAGAGUGGCACUUGUAUACAUAUGUAACUCACCUGCACAAUGUGCACAUGUACCCUAGAACUUAAAGUAUAAUAAUAAAAAAAAAA